rnacentral:rRNA from 1 species
GACGAACGCUGGCGGCGUGCCUAAUACAUGCAAGUAGAACGCUGAAGGAGGAGCUUGCUUCUCCGGAUGAGUUGCGAACGGGUGAGUAACGCGUAGGUAACCUGCCUGGUAGCGGGGGAUAACUAUUGGAAACGAUAGCUAAUACCGCAUAACAGUAGAUGUUGCAUGACAUUUGCUUAAAAGGUGCAAUUGCAUCACUACCAGAUGGACCUGCGUUGUAUUGGCUAGUUGGUGGGGUAACGGCUCACCAAGGCGACGAUACAUAGCCGACCUGAGAGGGUGAUCGGCCACACUGGGACUGAGACACGGCCCAGACUCCUAUGGGAGGCUGCAGUAGGGAAUCUUCGGCAAUGGACGGAAGUCUGACCGAGCAACGCCGCGUGAGUGAAGAAGGUUUUCGGAUCGUAAAGCUCUGUUGUAAGAGAAGAACGAGUGUGAGAGUGGAAAGUUCACACUGUGACGGUAUCUUACCAGAAAGGGACGGCUAACUACGUGC